GCCCUGAUCCAAAAUUGGGGACCUGAAAUCAAUUGCCCGUCUUUCAAACCUCCCGUGUACAAAACUUUAUCUCAAUCUGAACCGUAAUCACUAUCAAUAUUGCAAAAACAGUAAACAAUUAAUAUGAACGACCCCUUUUGCCGAUCCCCGAUCCAAAAUUUGACACCUGAAAUCAAUCACUCGUCCCUCAAAACUUCCAUGUUCAAAUUUUCAUCUCAAUCCAAUCAAUAUUCGUCUCAGAAUCGCAAAGAUAGUGAAAAAUUCAUAUGGACGACCCCUCUGGUCGAACCCUUACUUAAAAUAAGAUAAUUUAAAUCAAUUGCUGGUUCUUCAAAACACCCAUGGGCAUGUUUUCAUCUCAAUCCGAUGCAUAAUCACGACAAUAUCCUGAAAUCAGAGAACAACUAACAUGGACGACCCCUUUUUUCGACCACGAUCCGAAACUUGAUACCUGUAAUUAAUAACCUUUACUGUAAGACUUCCUGAGCCAUUUUUCAUUACAAUCAUAUGCACAAUAAAGAUAAUAUUGCAAAAACUGCGAACAGACCCCUUUUAACGACCCCUUACUCAAAAUUUGAAACCUGAAAGCUAUGGAGCAUCCCUCAAAACUUGUAUGUGGAAAUUUUAAUCUGAUUCCAAGGAAGAAUAAAGUCAAUAUUGCAAAAACAUUAAAAGGUUGAUAUGGCCGACCCCUGAUCCUGAAUUGAUUGCUCGUCCCUCAAAACACUCAUGUACUAAUUUUCAUCACAAUCCGAUGUAUAAUAACGCCAUUACAGCAAACACAUUAAACAGUUGAUAUGGACGACCCCUUUGGUAUAAUAACGCCAAUAUCGCAAAAACAUCAAACAGUUGAUAUGGACGACCCCUGUUUCUAACUUUGAUACCGAGAAUCGAUUGCUCAUCUCUCAAAACACUGAUGUGAAAAUUACGAUGUGUGCAGGAAUAGUGAUAGAAUAAUUUUCAUAAAAUAUACUUAGUCUCUUAACAUCUCAGAUUUUCAGAAUAUUGGAAUAAGGAUUAAGAUGAUUGAAAUAUGCGCUUCGGGACUCGGGUCAUAUUGACCCUAACAGUUUUGAAAAGUCAAUGUCGUAUCCGCAAAGACAUAAUGUGUUUUCAAGUUGCCAAAAGUAAACAAAUUUGAAGUUUUGAAGAAAAUCUGAAGAUCCAUCAAAUAAUAAAAAUAUUUUUAUGAUUAUUUGAAUAAUUUCAGAUUGAGCCAAAGCAAGGAUUUUCGCGCAGUGUUUGCUCAGCAUGCAUUUUUGUCAUUGGAGAGUUUUAUAAAUUUGCUGAAAACAUUCGCCAAAACCAAGACUACCUUAGUAUUGCGAUAUCCACUGAAGUGAACAACUGUACGAAUAUGGUGCCGCAAAUUGAACAUGAACCAUUGGAUCCGAAAUUUGAAGACACGGAUCAAUUACUUGAACCCAAGCAGGAGAUCAUUAUAGAUAACGAUAACCAGAGCGAUGAACACGAUCUUGUAGAUAUCAAGAUUGAACCAUUGGAUUUGGAAAGUGACAGACACAAUCAACUCUUAAAACCACACGAGGUUACGGUAAAUGAUAACAGUAACCAAGAACCUCCUACAAACCAUCAAAAAUCUGCUCCGCAAAAGUCGAAAUCCAAAACUAAAGAACAAAUCCAGGAAACUGAAAAGGCAUUGAACGAUUUUUUUAAAAUGGUAUGUGAACUAUGCGGAUACGAAGCGCCAAGUUUUAAAUUAUUGUUGCGUCAUUUCAAGAAGAUCCACCGCCAACCCGGCUAUGUAGUCUGUUGUGGAAAGAAAUUAUAUCUGCAGUUCACGUUAAAAUUGCAUAUGCAGAAUCAUAUGAACCCUGAUGGGGAGCUUUGUAAAAUUUGCAACAAACGCUUUAGAAACAUAUCACUACACCGAAGAAUGGUUCACUCCAAAGAGGGAAAAAAGAUUUUAUGCGACAAAUGUCCGAAGGCUUUUGCAAACAUGUUCUCGCUUAAAAGCCAUAUGAAGAAGCAUCAACCUAAAACGCAUCAACCUAAAACGCAUCAGAAUAUUCCAUGCCCACAGUGCGAUAUGAAGCUUGCGAGCAAACAUUCGCUUAAAGCCCACAUUUUCCACAUGCACUGCGUUGAGAGGCCACGGAUGAUUUGCGACUUUUGUGGAAAACAGUUUCUCAGUAAACCGAGUUUUGAUAGACAUGUUGACAAACACAAGGGAAUAGAACCCAAACAAGCAGCAUACCGAAAAAUUCAAUGCCACAUUUGUAAAAAAAUGUUACAUGCUGAGCGAGGACUAAAAAGACAUUUGAAGUUUGUUCACGCCGAAAGAACGAAAACGCACGAAUGUGAUGUAUGCCACAAAAAGUAUGCGAAUUCUGAACUAUUACAGUCACACAAAGCAAGGAUACAUAUCGAAGCCAAAUUGAAAUGCGAGUUCUGCGAAAAACUGUUCAAGCAAAACUUUAAGCUCCAGGAGCAUCGAGCAACCCACUUUGAAGAGCGUCCCUGGAAGUGUGAAUACUGUGAAACAGCUGUUAACACCAGAGGUAGCCUCUGGUCCCAUGUCCAAAAACACCACCCAGCGGAAAAGGCCGAACAGAAACGCCUAGCAGCAGAGAAAGCGUGUGGCUAAAGCAAAAGAUAUCCAAUGCAUGAAAUCAAAUGAAUUAGUAAGAACAAGUCGAAUGGUGUUGGAAAAAGAAGUAUAAAUUUUGAUUUCUAUCCUGAAAAAUAGACCAAAAAUGUUGGCCGUCCACACCGGUGUGAUAAAAUAUUUACGAAGUUUGAGAAUUCCAAUCUCCUUAUACAAUCAUCGAAUUCAAAUAAUAAUCUUAGCACAUUGAGGACACUAAGGAAAUCUAAGCCAUGAAACAUCAACCCUUGUUAUUCUAUAUCUCAGAAGAAAAUUCCAUGGACGAAAUUCUAAAAAUGGAGUAUCUUCAAGUUAUUGAAAUUGUUUAAAUUUUGUAGAUGAAAGUUUCAUUAUGGAGUUUAUACCA